rnacentral:rRNA from 1 species
AACGAACGCUGGCGGCAUGCCUAGCACAUGCAAGUCGAACGAGAUCUUCGGGUCUAGUGGCGCACGGGUGCGUAACGCGUGGGAAUCUGCCCUUUGGUUCGGAAUAACAGUUGGAAACGACUGCUAAUACCGGAUGAUGACGAAAGUCCAAAGAUUUAUCGCCAGAGGAUGAGCCCGCGUAGGAUUAGCUAGUUGGUGUGGUAAAGGCGCACCAAGGCGACGAUCCUUAGCUGGUCUGAGAGGAUGAUCAGCCACACUGGGACUGAGACACGGCCCAGACUCCUACAGGAGGCAGCAGUGGGGAAUAUUGGACAAUGGGCGAAAGCCUGAUCCAGCAAUGCCGCGUGAGUGAUGAAGGCCUUAGGGUUGCAAAGCUCUUUUACCCGGGAUGAUAAUGACAGUACCGGGAGAAUAAGCUCCGGCUAACUCCGUGCCAGCCGCCGCCGUAA